rnacentral:rRNA from 1 species
GACGAACGCUGGCGGCGUGCUUAACACAUGCAAGUCGAACGGAAAGGCCUCUUUCGGGGGGUACUCGAGUGGCGAACGGGUGAGUAACACGUGAGUAACCUGCCCUUGACUUUGGGAUAACUUCAGGAAACUGGGGCUAAUACCGGAUAGGAGCUCCUGCUGCAUGGUGGGGGUUGGAAAGUUUCGGCGGUUGGGGAUGGACUCGCGGCUUAUCAGCUUGUUGGAGGGGUAGUGGCUUACCAAGGCUUUGACGGGUAGCCGGACGGUGAGGGUGACCGGCCACAUUGGGACUGAGAUACGGCCCAGACUCCUACGGGAGGCAGCAGUGGGGAAUAUUGCACAAUGGGUGGAAGCCUGAUGCAGCAGCGCCGUGUGCGGGAUGACGGCCUUCGGGUUGUAAACCGCUUUCGCUCAUGACGAAGCUUUGUGUGACGGUAGUGGGUAAAGAAGCACCGGCUAACUACGUG